rnacentral:rRNA from 1 species
AAAGCGGACCUAUUACCGAAGAGUGGGCGGCUAAUCUUGAUCCAGUCAGUGCUAUGUGCUAUACCAGUUCAUUCCAUGCUCGCCUUGAGUUUCCCAGCUAAAACCAUCUCGGUGUUGGUAAAGAUUUGUAGGGGAUUCCUGUGGUGCGGCAAGAGUGAGGCAAACGGGGGCAACUGCUCGGUGGCUUGGGAUGAGGUGUGUACGUUCAAAUGCGUUGGUGGCCUCGGGAUUCCGGACUUGAGAUGGCUGAACACAGCCUUGCAAGCUCGAUGGCCUUGGCUCCAAAGGACUGACUCUGAGCGAUCGUGGGCUGAGUUCUCCAUCACCGUCCCCCAGGAAGUGAUGGCCUUGGCCAAGGCGGCAAUGCGUACGACUGUAGGAGAUGGAAGUACAGCUCAGUUCUGUGAAGAUCGCUGGGUGGAUGAAGCGACGGUUCAAGAGCUAGCACCAGCGCUGUUCAACAGAGUGCCUGGUCAUGUCAGGGCGACGAGGAUGGUCUCAGAUGCGCUUGGAAAUGGGCAUGAGUAG